GUCAUGCUUUAACUGUUAGAAGUUAAAACAAAACCAAUGAAUUAAAUUAUUCCCCAAAAACCUAAGGAUUAAUAUGGUCAUAGCUAAGAUAAUAGUUCUUUAACUAGAAUAACUAUUUUCGAGAAAAUGUGAAUACAACACUAUUAAACCUAAUAUCUGAAACAAAGAAACACAACCAUAAACAAAAUCCUUGAAGGACAUAUGCUAGUAACAGACAUAUUAAUGUGACACUAGGGAAAUAUAAAAACAAUUACGUAUUGAAGACACCCUGAAACAAACAUACCUUUACAUGUAAGAAUUAGAAAAUAGGAUAUCACAACCUAAAACGUAUUCCUUAAACAACACAUUAUAACCACUCCAAUUUUUUGACGAGUAUGCCAAUAAAGUUCAUGGAUAGGUGUUUCUAGGUUUUUGCAAAUUAAAAUUUAGACUAAAUUUCU
rnacentral:lncRNA from 1 species